rnacentral:rRNA from 1 species
AUUGAACGCUGGCGGCAUGCCUUACACAUGCAAGUCGAACGGUAACAGGGAGCUUGCUCCGCUGACGAGUGGCGAACGGGUGAGUAAUGCGUCGGAACGUGCCGAGUAGUGGGGGAUAACGCAUCGAAAGGUGUGCUAAUACCGCAUACGAACUGAGGUUGAAAGUGGGGGACCUUCGGGCCUCACGCUAUUCGAGCGGCCGACGUCUGAUUAGCUAGUUGGUGAGGUAAAGGCUCACCAAGGCGACGAUCAGUAGCGGGUCUGAGAGGAUGAUCCGCCACACUGGGACUGAGACACGGCCCAGACUCCUACGGGAGGCAGCAGUGGGGAAUUUUGGACAAUGGGCGCAAGCCUGAUCCAGCCGUGCCGCGUGUCUGAAGAAGGCCUUCGGGUUGUAAAGGACUUUUGUCCGGGAGCAAAUGCUGGUGGCUAACAUCCACCGGAGCUGAGAGUACCGGAAGAAUAAGCACCGGCUAACUACGUGCCAGCCGCCGCGGUAAAAC